rnacentral:rRNA from 1 species
AUGCAGGCGUGGGAGAUCGCCCAUACGCGGAAGGACCCCAAGCCUGGCGAGCCCAAGUACUACGGCAAGAAGACCGUGGGGAGGAAGAAGGCCUACUCCGAAGCAUAUCUGAAGUUACAUCCGGACACACCUGACCCCAUUGCGGCGGAUCUGGACAAGAGGGCGGUGGUGAUCAUGGGGCCCAAGGAGCACAGUCGGGAGGCGGUUCUCGAUGCUGUGGUCACUCCGACUAUCUCCUACACACAGCUCCGUCGGAUCGACCCGAGCCUGAGCCAGCGCACGAGCCAGCCAGUGACCAGUGCACAGUCCCUCUUUCAGGAGCAACAAUCUGCCUACCUGGAGUACACACGCCAGGAGACCAUGGCGUGGCAUCAGAGACUUCAUGAACACCAAGUGCAGAGGGAUCGCCAGCUGGAGCAGGCUUUUCAGGAAAUGGAGGCCGGCAGGUGUCCUCAGUUGCAGCCAGCACAAUGCCCUCCAGCACAACCAGUGCUGCUGACCUUUGAGGAGUUUGUGGCACAGAACAUUGGCCCCACGCCGGGAACAGGUGGAUCUACCGUUGGCGGUGGUCUUCGCAGCACUCCGGAGACACGGAGCCCGACCACUCCGAUCCACGGAGGCGGAGGUGGAGGCGGUUUUGGCGGUAGCGCUGCCGCUAGCAGUGAUGACCUGGGCUUCGGCGGUCUUGGCGGUGACGACCUCCGCGGUGCUCGACGUCCUGGCGCUUAA